rnacentral:rRNA from 1 species
AAACCGCGAAAGGCUCAUUAAAUCAGUUAUGGUUCCUUAGAUCGUACCCACAAUUACUUGGAUAACUGUGGUAAUUCUAGAGCUAAUACAUGCAAACAGAGCUCCGACCGGAGACGGAAGGAGUGCUUUUAUUAGAUCAAAACCAAUCGGUGGCGGGUUCGCCCGUUAUCGUACAACUUGGUGACUCUGAAUAACUUUACGCUGAUCGCACGGUCAUCGCACCGGCGACGCAUCUUUCAAAUGUCUGCCUUAUCAACUGUCGAUGGUAGGUUCUGCGCCUACCAUGGUUGUAACGGGUAACGGGGAAUCAGGGUUCGAUUCCGGAGAGGGAGCCUGAGAAACGGCUACCACAUCCAAGGAAGGCAGCAGGCGCGCAAAUUACCCACUCCCGGCACGGGGAGGUAGUGACGAAAAAUAACGAUACGGGACUCAUCCGAGGCCCCGUAAUCGGAAUGAGUACACUCUAAACCCUUUAACGAGGAUCAAUUGGAGGGCAAGUCUGGUGCC